UAAAAGUGAGGAUUGUCCUCGUUGCUGCGCAGAAGGCUUAUGUACUUAAUGCACCACUCGGUGUGCUGCACCUCGAGCAUCGUCUGUGGAUGUUGUGAACAUCCGACAUACACGUUUCUGAUGACUACGCGAUAGUUUAGUGCAAAAUACUCAAUGGCUUAGAAGCAAGGUGCCGAAGACGUUUUGAGACGUCACGGAACAUAAGAGAUGUUCUAAAGAGAUGAAAUUG
rnacentral:lncRNA from 1 species